UGGAACUUUUGCUGCAAAAUAAUCCUAGAUAGAAUCAAUCCGUUCUAAUGAAAAUUUAAGCCAAUCAGUUCAUAUCCUAGAUGUUUUAUGUACAUGUUCAGAGGGAUUAUUUGGACGUUGCAAGAGGGAUUAUUUUCCUUUUGUAGUAUUUUCCUUUCGUAGUAUUGUUCAGCUCAUAUCUUUUUAUUUUACAAUUUUCAGCAUUUUCCGCUUAAUCUCUGCCAUUUUUGGAUCUUGGUAAGGUUUGGAGUGUAUCAAACCUUUGCAUUUAUGGUAACCCUUUUAAUUACUAAAAAAUAAUGGAGUUCUCCAUUCUGUGAGUUUCUAUUUUUAUUUCAGCGUGUGUAUUGGAUCUUAUUAUUAGGUGCUUGUCUCCCUGUUUUCUAAUUGCAUUUUUUCCAAGAUAUCAUGUUCACUGAAGUCAGUAGUUUCAGUAGUUUCACUGAUGUCAUUUUCAGAACCUGGUUUCAUGUCUAGCUAGAGUGUUUGUCGGUGAGUGAAUUGUCAACUGCAUUUAUAUAGUAAUCGGUGAAUGAAGCUCGUUGUAUGGUGGCCAUGAUGCAUCGGCGAAUUCACCCGUUCUCUUUCUAUUUGUAGCAUAAUGCUCGUGGCAUGGCUGCCUUGAUGCAUUGGCGAAUUGUGUUAAUAUGAUAUCCUUCUCUAUUUUUCUAUUCAAUUUUGUAUGCUCCUUGACUUUUUUUAUUCGUUUCACGCAGGUAGAUAGUUUGCUGCAGCACUGCCGUAUGUCGAGGUAGUUUUGGUGAGGCCAUCUCAGGCCCGAUCCAUUGCCUCCUUCAUGCUCCAGACCAAGCUCUCCAUCAAGGUGAUACUCCUCUAAACUGAACUAGAUAUUGAUGUAUCCAAGCAAUAAUCCUUGCUGUCAUCCUCUCCGUUGUUCAGAUUAUCCUUACCUUCACUACGACCCUAUAUUGGUCAUUCAACACCUCACUCCAAAGGCACCGCAAUCCCCAGAUAGAUAUACAUUGACCCCAGUAAUGCUGAAAUAUUUUGGGUCAGAGAGCGGAGGACAACGACGGCUGCCAGCGACCCGGGCCUCCUCACGGCGGAGGAUCUUCUCCGUCCACGAUUUUGCGGGCGUCAGAUCCGCGAGCUCCCAUAUAUUUUCCUGAUUUGGCAGAGCAUUGGUUGAGAAAACACCUCGAAAGAAAAGGAAGGGCAUGCUGGGCAUUGAAGAAGCAAGAUAUUAGAGAUGGGACACCAAAGAGAGGAAGGCAGGUCUCCAGAAUAAAAAAAGACAGUUCCAAGAGGAAGGAAAGAAGGAAAGUCUGCGGCUUUGGCAGUAUGGAGAUGUUAAAUCUGACGAGGAGCAGGUUUCAGGUGCAAGAAAAGCGGGAGGCCGUCGGUAGAUGAGAGCAGAUUACUCAAGACAAUGUUCAUAGUGUAGUGAAAAUGGUCAUGGUUUACCUGUGACGUUUUGGACGCUCCCAGCAGAACUCAGCCGAAACUAUAUGAAGUGACAGGGCUCAUUUAUGCAGUUAGAACAAGCCAAUGCUGAACGUUCUUAGUUUGAGCAGUAUUUGCUACUCCAUUCAGUUAUUACAUCUUUAGAGUGGAGAGCUAAACUACAUUUUUUCGCCCUUACGAUUAACAAGGUUGUUUCUCUGUGCACUAUAUUUUGUUGUUAUGAGGCAUUCAAAUAUUGAGAAUUUCCAGUCAAAUUAAAUUCAGGAUUAGACUAGAAUAUACAAAUAGAGUGACAUGUACCUGUUUC